rnacentral:rRNA from 1 species
UUGGGUGACUAUUGCGAUGGGGAACCACCUCUUACCAUUCCGAACAGAGAAGUUAAGCCCAUCUGCGCCGAUGGUACUGCAUUUGUGGGAGAGUAGGUCGUUGCCUGAC